AAAAAAUAAAAGACUUUCCAAAUCUCAAAAAUCCUGGGAAGUUUUCAUGAAAAGUAAGAUCUCUUUCCAUUUUUUAUCUAACGUAAAAAAUGAAUAAAGAGACCGGUAAGGCUGGUGAGAAGAGGAAGAGGACUGCAGGAGUAGACAAAGAUCUGUCCACGUUGAAACGAAAACAACGGGAUAGCACCCCCGACAGAGUAUUGAAGACUUGGGGUGAACUUCCACCAAAAGAGAAGCUAUCUACU